rnacentral:rRNA from 1 species
AGUCGAACGGCAGCAUAGGAGCUUGCUCCUGAUGGCGAGUGGCGAACGGGUGAGUAAUAUAUCGGAACGUGCCCUAGAGUGGGGGAUAACUAGUCGAAAGACUAGCUAAUACCGCAUACGAUCUACGGAUGAAAGUGGGGGAUCGCAAGACCUCAUGCUCCUGGAGCGGCCGAUAUCUGAUUAGCUAGUUGGUGGGGUAAAAGCCUACCAAGGCAACGAUCAGUAGCUGGUCUGAGAGGACGACCAGCCACACUGGGACUGAGACACGGCCCAGACUCCUACGGGAGGCAGCAGUGGGGAAUUUUGGACAAUGGGGGCAACCCUGAUCCAGCAAUGCCGCGUGAGUGAAGAAGGCCUUCGGGUUGUAAAGCUCUUUUGUCAGGGAAGAAACGGUAGUAGCGAAUAACUAUUACUAAUGACGGUACCUGAAGAAUAAGCACCGGCUAACUACGUGCCAGCAGCCGCGGUAAUACGUAGGGUGCAAGCGUUAAUCGGAAUUACUGGGCGUAAAGCGUGCGCAGGCGGUUGUGUAAGUCAGAUGUGAAAUCCCCGGGCUCAACCUGGGAAUUGCAUUUGAGACUGCACGGCUAGAGUGUGUCAGAGGGGGGUAGAAUUCCACGUGUAGCAGUGAAAUGC